GAGAAAGAGAGAGCUAAUCUUCUUCGCCACUCCGCGGCACUCAAGAGUCAAGUCUUCGCUCGCUCACAAUGAAUAAAGUGAACAAAAAACCAAAAAGCUGACUAAUUAGCAAACUCUCUCUCCUCCCCCUCUCUCUAGGGUUUUCGCUGUUCCCAUAAUCCCAAUUUAAACUUCAUCCCUGCAAUCAAGGAUCCAUUUUUUGGCUGUAUAAUUUCAAGACUUUGCAAUUUUCAUGGAGGUUCCGGGAAUAGAAGAGACCAACAAUUCUGAUGCCCGCUUGACAUCAGCAGCAGCUUUUGUGGAGGGAGGAAUCCAGGAAGCCUGUGAUGAUGCUUGCAGUAUAUGCCUAGAGGCCUUCUGUGAAAAUGAUCCUUCUACGUUGACAGGUUGCAAGCAUGAAUUUCAUCUUCAGUGCAUUCUUGAGUGGUGUCAGCGAAGCUCCCAAUGUCCUAUGUGUUGGCAACCCAUCAGCUUGAAGGAUCCCACUGGCCAAGAACUGCUAGAGGCAGUAGUGCAAGAGAGAAGUAUUAGGUCUAAUCCACCUCGAAAUACUACAAUAUUUCAUCAUCCAACUCUUGGUGAUUUUGAAUUGCAGCAUUUACCCAUGGGUGUAAAUGAUGCUGAACUUGAAGAGCGUAUAAUUCAGCACUUAGCUGCUGCUGCUGCAAUGGGUCGUUCACGCCACAUUGCCAGAAGGGAAGGACAAAGAAAUAGGUCAUCAGCUCAAGGUCGCCAGCAAUACCUGGUCUUCUCUACCCAUCCUAGCACACCUCCGGCUCCUGCUUCAUCUUCCCCUGAUCAGAUGGAAGAAGGUGAACCGGCUCCUUCAGUUGCAGUAACUUUCCCUUCGCCUCCUACGAAUAUAGGGGAAGAAUUGUCUCAAAUGACAACUCCCGUACAUUCGUCACAAUCUGGUCCUGUGGCUGCCUCUGUGUCUGGAUCUAGUGUUUCUUCUCCAAAUCAACAAGGAUCUUCCAUGAGCAAUAGGAGGUCGCCUAGCCAGUCGUCCCCAAGUACCCAAGAUAGAGCUGGCCCAUCAGACAUGCAAUCAUUUUCAGACUCUCUGAAAGCUCGAUUUAAUGCAGUAUCAACGAGAUACAAAGAGUCAAUUUCAAAAAGCACAAAAGGUUGGAAGGAGAGAUUGUUCUCUCGCAAUACUUCCAUGGCAGAUCUUGGUUCGGAAGUUAAAAGAGAGGUUAAUGCAGGGUUUGAAACUGUAUCACGCAUGAUGGAGCGUCUGGAAACAAAAGACAAUAACAGAGUUCAUGAUGCUUCUGUGUCAAAUAGUUUAGACAGUCCGGUUUCUGGAUCAGACAAUCGACAGAUAUCAGAAAGUGAUGGUGAAACUUUUUUAAAUGACCACAAUAAACCAGCUGCUUGUGCUACAGGUUCUAGUUCAAAUUAAGCAUUUUUCAGCAAUUGCAUUAACUCAAAGAAGUUCCUUAUAUAAGCUGCUCUAAUGAUGCUGCAAAUAGGAGCAUUUUCUCUUCAAGUAUCUUUGUAGGAACAAGGAUUCUUCACUGGAAGCUCUCUUAGCUGAAUGUAGAACUUUAUUGUUUGCAUCUCAAGUGGAAUCUCCCCUUUGAACUGCCAGAGCCCUGUGGAUACGACGCAUUUGCCAUCGUCUUCCUGUGGAGGAUAGUCUGUCUACUUUUGGAAAGAGCAUUGCUGAUUCAGAUAUAAUUCAGAAUAAAGAAACUAUAGAAUGUAUGCUCUACUUUUUAAACCUGAACACCAUUAUCGGCUUUUAAAUUGGUUAUCUUAUAACUUAUUUGUGAAUACAUACUUCCGUCGCACAUGUUAGGUAUCUUUGAACCGUACAUACGUGUAGACAAUUAACUUUUAUAUGGAUAUACAGUAAUUUCCUUCGUGUUGUA